CAGCAGCCGCCGCGGUAAUACGUAGGGUGCAAGCGUUAAUCGGAAUUACUGGGCGUAAAGCGUGCGCAGGCGGUUAUAUAAGACAGAUGUGAAAUCCCCGGGCUCAACCUGGGAACUGCAUUUGUGACUGUAUAGCUAGAGUACGGCAGAGGGGGAUGGAAUUCCGCGUGUAGCAGUGAAAUGCGUAGAUAUGCGGAGGAACACCGAUGGCGAAGGCAAUCCCCUGGGCCUGUACUGACGCUCAUGCACGAAAGCGUGGGGAGCAAACAGGAUUAGAUACCCCAGUAGUCCCUGUCUCUUAUAA
rnacentral:rRNA from 1 species